rnacentral:rRNA from 1 species
UUUAAAAGUUAAUAAGGGCGUAUGGUGAAUGCCUUGGCUCUCUUAGGCUAUGAAGGACGUGACAAGCUGCGAAAAGUUCCGAAAAGGUGCAAAUAACCUUUGAAACGGAAAUCUCCGAAUGGGGUAACCCGAUUAAUUGAAGAUUAAUCAUCCAUUUAUUUGGAAGCCAACCUGGUGAACUGAAACAUCUAAGUAACCAGUGGAAAAGAAAACAAUAGUGAUUCCCAAAGUAGUGGCGAACGAAAUGGGAUUAGUCCAAACCAAAAUUGUUUAGGCAAUUUUGGGGUUGUAGGACUGUAAUAUGGAAUGUAAAUUUAUAAUGGAAUACUUUUGGAAAAAAGUAACCAAAGAAGGUGAAAGUCCUGUACAUGAAAUAAAUCUACUACCUAACAGUAUCCUGAGUAGGGCGGGACACGUGAAAUCCUGUCUGAAUCCACCGGGACCAUCCGGUAAGACUAAAAACUCAAGAGAGACCGAUAGUGAACAAGUACCGUGAGGGAAAGGUGAAAAGUACCCCGAACAGGGGAGUGAAAUAGAACCUGAAACCAUACGCUUACAAGCGGUAGGAGCCUUUUUAAAGGUGACUGCGUGCCUUUUGCAUAAUGAACCUACGAGUUACUCCUCUCUAGCAAGGUUAAGAAUCUAUGAUUCGUAGCCGCAGCGAAAGCAAGUCCGAAUAAGGCGAAAAGUUAGAGGGGGUAGACGCGAAACCAAGUGAUCUACCCAUGGGCAGGUUGAAGCUCCGUUAAUCCGGAGUGGAGGACCGAACCAGUACACGUUGAAAAGUGUUUGGAUGACCUGUGGGUAGGGGUGAAAGGCCAAUCAAACUUGGAGAUAGCUCGUACUCUCCGAAAUGCAUUUAGGUGCAGCCUCGAUAUUAUUGUCAUAGAGGUAGAGCUACUGAUUGGAUG